ACACACAGUCACAGAGACUCGGUUGGCGAAUUCCAUUCUAAAUCUGAUGAACCAAUGUCCCUUUAUGUGUUUUGGAUGAUUCAAAUGUGUUGACAAAUUCCAAUUGGAGAUUCGGAGUGAGGCUCUGGGUACUGUUUGGGGAAACUUAAUCAUGUCUUCCACCACCUUCAGUCCCUCUCGGAGCCCCGGACCCGGAAGUUCAAGGUUUCAGUUAGCGGCUAUAUCCAGGUUGAGAUCCUCCUUCCUCAAGAAGCUUCCGGAGCCUCUACGCCGUGCCGUCGCCGACUGCCUCUCCUCACCCCUCACUUCCACCAUUGAACCUUCAAGGACCCUUCGGGACUAUCUGGCAGCCCCUGCAACCACAGAUUUGGCUUAUAGUGCACUUCUGGAGCAUACUAUUGCAGAGAGGGAGCGAAGUCCUGCAGUAGUCAGAAGGUGUGUGACACUUCUGAAACGGUAUCUUUUGAGAUACAAACCAAGCGAGGAGACUUUACUUCAGAUAGAUCGUUUUUGUUCAACCAUUAUUACUGAAUGUGAUAUUAACCUGAAUCGACCAUGGUCAAGAUCUUUGAAUCAACCAUCGGGUGCAUCAACAACAUCUGCAAAUACAUCUCCUUUGCCUGUAUCUAGCUUUGCUUCUGAGGCAGUUGUGAAGUCACUGAGUUAUGUGCGUUCCCUAGUGGCGCAACACAUUCCAAAGCGGCUUUUUCAGCCAGCUUCAUUUGCUGGACCACCUUCUGCAUCUGGACAAUCGCUGCCAACAUUGUCAACGUUGUUGAGUAAAUCCUUCAAUUCCCAGCUGUGUCCAGCAAGUGUACCAGAAACACUGGAGAAGGAUUCAGCCACUUCAUUGGUUUCAAAGUCAUCAAAAAUUGAAAAAAUUGAUGAAAAGGAUGAAUUUGGGUUCAUUGCCCAUGAUGUUCUGCAAUGGCGCUGGCUUGAGGAACAGCAGUCAUCAUCAAUGCCAAAUGAAAAUGAUAGUGCUGUGAAUUCGCAAGACAUGAGAGCACAUAAUUUCUUAGAAGUAGGUGCUGCAGCUCUACUUCUAGGAGACAUUGAAGCUAAGAUGAAGGGGCAACCAUGGAAAUAUUUUGGAACUGAUGAUAUGCCUUACUUGGAUCAACUAUUGCAGUCUUCUCCAGUAACAUCAAUUACUAAUUCUGCAUCUGCUCGUCCCCACCUAAGAGCAAUAACAGCAUCUAAACGCACAAAAACAGGCCCCCAUCAAGUUUGGCAUGAUUCUCCUGUGAGUACAUUCCGUCCUCGAGCUCGACAGCUCUUCCAGUAUCGUUGUUACAGUGAGCAACAGCCUUUGCGACUGAACCCAGCCGAGGUAUGUGAAGUUAUUGCAGCAGUUUGCUCAGAGAUUUCUUCACCAAAUACCAAUGUCAUGACAAUGUCAACUAGGCUACGCAAUAACGGUGGAAAACCGUCAAUGGAUGUGGCUGUGAGCGUCCUUAUUAAACUAGUUAUUGACAUGUAUGUUUUAGAUUUUCGGAUUGCUACUCCACUCACUCUUUGUAUGCUUGAGGAGAUGCUUAGUUCUUCUGAAACAGCUUGCAGAGUUCGAGCAUUUGAUUUAAUUCUAAAUCUUGGGGUUCAUGCUCAUCUCCUAGAACCAAUGAUAACUGAUGAUGCUUCCACAAUUGAAGAGGAAUAUUCUCAAGAAUCUUUUUAUGACAGUGAUACUCAAUUUAUGGCCCAGGGGAGCAGAAAAGGAAAUUCUCAGAACAAAUUGGAUACUUUCUCUGCAAUUGAUAAUUUAGAGUCUUGGAUUUUAAAUAUUUUGUAUGAGAUACUACUUCUUCUGGUACAGACUGAAGAAAAGGAGGAAUCUGUCUGGGCGUCUGCACUCAGUUGUUUGCUUUAUUUUGUCUGUGAUAGAGGAAAGAUUCAGAGAAACCGAUUACAAGUUCUUGACAUAAGGGUUAUCAAAGCACUAAUAGAAACCAGCAGGAGGAAUUCUUGGGCAGAAUUAGUUCAUUGCAAGCUUAUUUCCAUGUUAGCUAACAUGUUUUAUGAAGUUCCUGACGAAGUUGUUGAGCCUUUACCUAGCACACCAAAGUUUCUCGUGAAUCAACUUGAUCUGAUUGGAGGAGUUCAAUUUCUUUUUCGUGAGUAUGCCCUUGUGAACUCAAGAGAAGAGAGGAAAAAUCUGUAUUUGGUGCUUUUUGACUACAUUCUGCAUCAAAUUAAUGAAACAUGUGUAGCUACAGGAGUCAAUGAAUAUAGUGAUGACGAGAUCCAACCACUUGCUACUCUGCUUGCUCAAACAAAUGCAGCUGAGGCAUUUUAUAUUUCUGUUAAACUUGGGGUAGAAGGAAUUGGGGAGCUUUUGAGAAGAUCAAUUGCAUCUGCACUGUCCAGAUAUCCCAACAGUGAACGUCUAAAUACGCUCUUGGAAAUUGUAACAGAGAAAUUUGACACAAUAAUAAGUUCAUUCACUCAUUUGGACAAAGAAUUCUCUCAUAUGAUUCAGAUAACCAAAACUCAGAAGUCUCUUGAAAAUAUGGAAGCUGUUGCUCUGAGAAAUGGCAUUGAUCUGCAUACAAAGCAUUCAUGGACUACUUUACAUUCCCUUCUUCAUUCUGAAAGAAUUGCUUAUCGUCAAAAUGGAUAUAUCUGGUUAGGUGAUCUGCUUAUUGAUGAAAUUAGUGGGGAAAGAGAUGGAACUAUAUGGUCAAAUAUAAAAUACUUCCAGCAGAAAAUUGCUCAAGCUGGAAAACAGGAUUCUUCAGAUACAUCAGAUGCUCCUUUGUCCAUUUCACUUAUGUGUGGGCUUCUAAAGUCAAAACAUAACUAUAUUAGAUGGGGAUUUUUGUUUGUUCUUGAAAGGCUUCUUAUGAGAUGUAAAUUUUUGUUAGAUGAGUAUGAAAUGCAACAAUCAAGGAGCAGUGAUCUUGGGCGUGGCCAGAAAGAUUGGCAUCUUGAGAAAGCCCAUGCAGUGAUUGACAUAAUGAGCAGUGCUUUGUUGUUUCAGAUCCAUAAGUAUGAAACAGACCUCAUCAAUAUUCUGAAAAUGUGUGACAUAUUAUUCUCCCAAUUGUGUCUAAGAGUUCCCCCGGCUAUGGCUCUGCCCUAUAGAGAUGAUAUGCAGCACAACAGAAGUUUAAAGUGCUACAGUUCAAACAAAAAGUUUGAUGGUGAUAGUCGCAUUCCUAAACAAGAUACUUUUCAGUUGGAUGAACAAAAUGAGGAAGAAGCUGGUAGAAGAUCCGGCUGCCCUAAUAUCUACCAUCCGGAUCAUGAGACUGCAUCAAUGGCAGCACUUCUUCUCCAGGGACAAGCCAUUGUCCCAAUGCAAUUAACUGCACGUGUUCCUGCUGCUUUGCUAUAUUGGCCACUUAUGCAAUUGGCCGAAGCAGCAACAGAUGAUAUUGCAUUGGGUGUUUCUGUUGGAAGUAAAGGGAGAGGAAACCUGCCUGGUGCCACAUCUGAUAUUCGGGCCACCCUUCUCCUACUUCUUAUUGGUAAAUGCACGGCAGAUGCUGCUGCUUUCCAGGAAGUUGGUCGAGAACAAUUUUUUAGGCAACUUUUGGAUGACACAGAUUCAAGGGUGGCAUAUUAUUCUUCGGCUUUUCUUCUAAAGCGAAUGAUGACCGAGAAGCCUGAGAAAUAUCAACACAUGCUUCAGAAUCUUGUUGUGAAAGCUCAGCAGAGCAACAAUGAAAAACUGUUAGAGAAUCCUUACCUUCAAAUGCGUGGCAUAAUUCAACUGGCAAAUGAUCUUGGAUUUGACUUGUGAUCUUCAUAUCAUGGCUUUCUGGGAUGUGAUAUUGGUUUGGAGUGGAUUUGUGGUGGUCCAAGGGAUCAUCACUACUGGUUCUGAGGAUCAUUCAUCAUAUCAUUCAAAUGACUGAGAUUGAAACACUUAGCCGGGACAUACUUUAACUUUGUAAGCUUCCUUCCGGAAACCAAAUUGUGAUUUAUUUUCAACAUGGUGGAAGAGAAUAUAGUGGCGGCCAGGGAGUUCAGUGGGAUUCAAUGAGCUCUUAUAUUAUUCUUAGAAAUAAUUGACAGAACAUGCCCUCAAUGCAUUUCGAUCUCUUCAGUGAUAUUUCUCUGCGUGGGCCAUGUUGAUAUUUGUUAUCAUGUCUUCAUCUGCAGCAUGUCUUUCAACCAUUGAGAGACCGUUUACUUGGGAAAAUUUAUUAAACUUUGUGGUUCUGCUGAAGGAGUUUGGCUGCAUGGUAAGUGAAAGCCAGUGUUCUGUUCAGGAAUACAUUUGAACAUCAUCCUUGAUUUUGAUUCAGAUGCAGAAAUGUUGCUGAUCUAGGCCUCAACAUGUCCUCAGUUGCUGGCUCGUCAUUUACAUUAGAAGAAAUUGUGUGCUGAAUUUGCACAGAAUAAGAUUCCCACCGAGCUGUCUUCAGUUUUGUCAUUCAUGAAAGGCAAUCUAUAUGCUUGCUUUUUUACUUGGCAUAGUGGAGCUUUCAUGAAAUUCAAAGAACUUUUGUACAUUGUCAAUACAAUCACGGUUCAACAAAAUCCUUUGAUAGGGACAUCAUGUGAUGCCUACUUUUAGAGGCAUCCAAGUUGCUCUCAAUUUUCUGUAAUUAUGUGCUCUAUAUUUUAUUUUGAUUUUUUUCCUUUGUGAUUUAGCUCUUCAAUCGCGGAAACUGUAACAUGUAUUGAGAAAUUACCGUGUAGAUAGAUAUACAGGGUUUUGGAGAGAAAAUUUUGUGUAGGGCAGUUCGUUAUGUGAUUGGAUCAUGUAAUUUCUUGCUUCUUUUAAUAUAUUUGCUGUUAAGAUUUGCAAAGUUCUAGAUCAGUAGGGGUGACAAUUUUUGAGAAGACGUUCGAGUGAUUUGUUUUU